UACGUAGGUGGCAAGCGUUGUCCGGAAUUAUUGGGCGUAAAGCGCGCGCAGGCGGUCUCUUAAGUCUGAUGUGAAAGCCCCCGGCUCAACCGGGGAGGGUCAUUGGAAACUGGGAGACUUGAGUGCAGAAGAGAAGAGUGGAAUUCCACGUGUAGCGGUGAAAUGCGUAGAGAUGUGGAGGAACACCAGUGGCGAAGGCGACUCUUUGGUCUGUAACUGACGCUGAGGCGCGAAAAGCGUGGGGGAGCAAACAGGAU
rnacentral:rRNA from 1 species